CUCGGAUCAGGUAGGAAUACCCGCUGAACUUAAGCAUAUCAAUAAGCGGAGAAA
rnacentral:rRNA from 1 species